GAUGAACGCUGGCGGCGUGCCUAAUACAUGCAAGUCGAGCGAACAGACGAGGAGCUUGCUCCUCUGACGUUAGCGGCGGACGGGUGAGUAACACGUGGAUAACCUACCUAUAAGACUGGGAUAACUUCGGGAAACCGGAGCUAAUACCGGAUAAUAUAUUGAACCGCAUGGUUCAAUAGUGAAAGACGGUUUUGCUGUCACUUAUAGAUGGAUCCGCGCCGCAUUAGCUAGUUGGUAAGGUAACGGCUUACCAAGGCGACGAUGCGUAGCCGACCUGAGAGGGGAUUGGCCCACCCGGAACCGGGACACGGGCCCGACACCUGCGGGGGGGCGCAGUAGGGAAACCUCCGCCAAGGGGGGAAAGCCGGCGGGGGAACCCCCGGGGGGGGGAUAAAGGUCUUCGAUCCGUAAAACUUUUUUUUUGGGAAAAAAAAAUUGGGAAAGUAAUAUGGCCGGUUUGGAGGGGACUAAUCCGAAAAGCCAGGGUAAAUUCCGG
rnacentral:rRNA from 1 species